rnacentral:rRNA from 1 species
UGAAGAUGCAGUGUACCCGCGGCAAGACGGAAAGACCCCGUGAACCUUUACUAUAGCUUGACACUGAACACUGGUCCUUGAUGUGUAGGAUAGGUGGGAGGCUUUGAAGUGUGGACGCCAGUCUGCAUGGAGCCAUCCUUGAAAUACCACCCUUUAAUGGCUGGUGUUCUAACGUGGGCCCCUAAUCGGGGUUGCGGACAGUGUCUGGUGGGUAGUUUGACUGGGGCGGUCUCCUCCCAAAGAGUAACGGAGGAGCACGAAGGUUAGCUAAUCCUGGUCGGACAUCAGGAGGUUAGUGCAAAGGCAUAAGCUAGCUUGACUGCGAGAGUGACGGCUCGAGCAGGUGCGAAAGCAGGUC